rnacentral:rRNA from 1 species
UACGUAGGGUGCGAGCGUUGUCCGGAAUUAUUGGGCGUAAAGAGCUCGUAGGCGGCUUGUCGCGUCGACUGUGAAAACCUGGGGCUUAACUCUGGGCCUGCAGUGGGUACGGGCAGACUAGAGUGCGGUAGGGGAGAUUGGAAUUCCUGGUGUAGCGGUGGAAUGCGCAGAUAUCAGGAGGAACACCGAUGGCGAAGGCAGAUCUCUGGGCCGUAACUGACGCUGAGGAGCGAAAGCAUGGGGAGCGAACAGG